AUUGAACGCUAGCGGGAUGCCUUACACAUGCAAGUCGAACGGUAACAGGUCUUCGGACGCUGACGAGUGGCGAACGGGUGAGUAAUACAUCGGAACGUGCCCAGUCGUGGGGGAUAACUACUCGAAAGAGUAGCUAAUACCGCAUACGAUCUGAGGAUGAAAGCGGGGGACCUUCGGGCCUCGCGCGAUUGGAGCGGCCGAUGGCAGAUUAGGUAGUUGGUGGGAUAAAAGCUUACCAAGCCGACGAUCUGUAGCUGGUCUGAGAGGACGACCAGCCACACUGGGACUGAGACACGGCCCAG
rnacentral:rRNA from 1 species